CUGAAACUUAGUUGGACUUGUAGACUUUUGUUUGAGGUGGUCUUUGCCUCUUGGAAGGAGCAUUGCCAGAUUGGAGACCUGGGAAAACCCAUCGCUCAGGCCAUUCAAGCAAGUCCUGGAUGGAAGACUCAAAGGACCCAACCUGUAGAAGUGGCUGCCUUUGUCUCAGAGGAGCUGCCGGUUCAGGAAGGCAUAGAUAUCGAAAAUAAGUUCAAUCUGCCUUUGUUCUUUUCCUACAUCAUGAUGCUAAUUCACUGAAGAGGCACGAGAUGGGGCAAGGAAGACAUUUUCAUUGUCAGCAGCAAACGGAGUGGCUCUACUGGAGAGGGAAAAAGAAGAGGGGAAGAGGCUGAGAAUUAUUCUGCUGAGAAAGAAUAUCCAUGCAGGUGGUGGUCGUGUGUGAAGGCGCACACUUCUUUCAGGGAAACACAAGUGGAGUUCUGGGAGUCCUUUCAACCCUCCCCCAGACGUUCACCACAGCCUGUAUGAAUCAUAUACACAUUGCAACCAUUCAGCUUCCUCUGUCCACAAGGUUAGGGUGACCAUCAGAAUCCAGGAUUAUCUCACAAGGAAGGAGAACGUGUGUGAAAACUACUGGUUAGGUUCGGUAGGUAUUCUAUAUAUCAUCUGAUUCUAACGGUUAAUUCUCUGAUAACGAGAAAAUUAUUUGACUCUAGGCUCUCAGGAUCAGAGGGUAGCAUGAGCUCGUCAGUUCCCUCCUUCCUCCCUCCUCUUACAUCACAUGGAACAUUGUCGUUCAUACCAUAGCAGAUGGAGUUCAUUUGGUACUUGGAAUGUCAAAGUAUUUGGAAGCAUUUUCAUUUGGUUCAGCAUUAUUCAGAAUUGAAUGAAAGAAUAUUUUAACAUAAUUUUUAUUGAUUCUUUGCACCCUAAUCUCACUCAU